rnacentral:rRNA from 1 species
GAUGAACGCUGGCGGCGUGCCUAAUACAUGCAAGUCGAGCGAACAGACGAGGAGCUUGCUCCUUUGACGUUAGCGGCGGACGGGUGAGUAACACGUGUGUACCCCACCUAUAAGACUGGGAUAACUUCGGGAAACCGGAGCUAAUACCGGAUAAUAUUUCGAACCGCAUGGUUCGAUAGUGAAAGAUGGCUUUUCUAUCACUUAUAGAUGGUCCUGCGCCGUAUUAGCUAGUUGGUAGGGUAACGGCUUAUCAAGGCAACGAUACGUAGCCGACCUGAGAGGGUGAUCGGCCACACUGGAACUGAGACGCGGUCCAGACUCCUACGAGAGGCAGCAGUAGGGAAUCUUCCGCAGUGGGCGAAAGCCUGACGGAGCAACGCCGCGUGAGUGAUGAAGGUCUUCGGAUCGUAAAACUCUGUUAUUAGGGAAGAACAAACGUGUAAGUAACUGUGCACGUCUUGACGGUACCUAAUCAGAAAGCCACGGCUAACUACGUG